UCCGUUUUGAACUCUGUCAGACUGUCAGUUAAGAAACGCAGCUGAGUCUGUAUUCACAUUGUUUGGACUUGUCCGUGGUCCCCACUCUCCAACACCAUCAGCACACCAAGUCACCAACUUUCUGUAGUCUACACAGGGAAACACAGAGCAAAAACUCCCUACAAUUUCCCUCUAUUCUCUCUCCAAAUUCGAGGCUCAGAGGGGUUCUAUCGAUCAAUUAAAAUUAAGGCUUUUAUUCUUUCGGCUUCAGUUUAUUCUUCAAUUUUUUAAUGUUUCUUUGAUUUUCUAUUUAUGAAGGUUUGAAUUUUAGAGGAAAUGGAGUAUGUGGGGAGAAAGGUGAAGAAAGAGUUUGAAGGGCAUGGUACAUUCUUCGGUUCUGUUGAAUCGUACGACGCUUCAACUAGGUUUUUCAAGAUCGUGUACGAGGACGGCGAUUCCGAGGAAUUGGACUUGACUGAAAUUAGUUCUCUAUUGGUGUCUUCAGAGGGACUGGAGUCGGCUCGGGAAGCGCAGCCAUCCUCCGCGGAGGAGCCCACCAGAAGGCUUGUUCGCAAGCGGAGGAAGCGGAGCCAUAUGAAUACAGGUAAAAUUGGUAUUUCAGUAAUAGAGAGUGGCGUUUCUGGUAAUUCUGGGGACAUGGAAUUAAAUGCGGUUGGUUUGAAUUUGAAUGAAGGGUUGGAUUUAAAUGAUGAUGGGUUUAAUAAUUUAAAUGAUGAUUAUGAGGGGACUUUGGGUAAUAAUUGUGAUGUUGGUGGGGCUAAGCUGCAAGGUGUGAAUUUGAAUGAAGCUGUGAAUUUGGAAUCGAGGGAUGAGGGCAUGGCUUUAAGUGAAAGGGUUUCAGAUGAUAGGUUGGGGAAAAGAAAAGAAUUAAUUGAUUUAAAUUUGGAUGUAAAUGAAGAUUCUGAGAAUUUCAGUCCCAAUGGAAAAAGGGUUUGUUUUGACUUGAAUUUAGAGUUGUCAGAGAG
rnacentral:lncRNA from 1 species